rnacentral:lncRNA from 1 species
AACAUUGAAGACUGUAUUUUUCAGAUGAAACUUAAACAAUAAUCCAACGAAUACAUGUCACUCAUUUGCAAAGCUCAAUACCAUUUUGUAAAUAUGCCUUUACCUAUAUGUAAAGAAUGGCAAUGCAUCUGAAUUUAUAUAAGAACUUGAAGAGUUAGAAUCUAAGACAUACAAAAAACACAAACACCAGAUAUAAACUAUAGGACAAGGCUAUCUAUGUGUGAUUUGGAUUUUGACAAUGGCAGCAAUAUACAAUACAGGAGAUAACAAAAACUUUUGGACAAAGCAUAACCAUACACAACAAUUUCUAGCAUUUUCUUAUUGUCAUCCUGUCUUGGGCAUAGUUAUUUUCACUUCUAAUCGGG